rnacentral:rRNA from 1 species
UACGUAGGGUGCAAGCGUUAUUCGGAAUUACUGGGCGUAAAGCGUGCGCAGGCGGUUUUGUAAGUCUGGCGUGAAAUCCCCGGGCUUAACCUGGGAAUUGCGAUGGAGACUGCAAGGCUAGAAUCUGGCAGAGGGGGGUAGAAUUCCACGUGUAGCAGUGAAAUGCGUAGAUAUGUGGAGGAACACCGGUGGCGAAGGCAGCCCCCUGGGUCAAGAUUGACGCUCAUGCACGAAAGCGUGGGGAGCAAACAGG